UACGGGGGGGGGCAAGCGUUGUUCGGAAUUCCUGGGCGUAACGGGCUCGUAGGUGGCCAACUAAGUCAGACGUGAAAUCCCUCGGCUUAACCGGGGAACUGCGUCUGAUACUGGAUGGCUUGAGUUCGGGAGAGGUGAGUGGAAUUCCCAGUGUAGCGGUGAAAUGCGUAGAUAUUGGGAGGAACACCAGUGGCGAAGGCGGCUCACUGGACCGGAACUGACGCUGAGGCGCGAAAGCGUGGGGAGCAAACGGG
rnacentral:rRNA from 1 species